rnacentral:lncRNA from 10 species
AAAGAGUUGGUGUCUCCCAGUUUGCAAGCAGUCCUGGGGAAGUAGGUUGGCACCGAUGAACCCUUUACAUUGAUUAUCUUAGGCAGCUCAAUUCACUUAGUUUUCUUCAGUUGAAGAAAAGGGGGUAGCAACACCGGAUAAAUUUUAGGGGCACUUCUCUCCUGACAUUCCAUUAAUGUGCCAAUGGCUUAGUGUUUUGCAAGGAACUUCACAGAAUAGAACAGUUCGGUUAACUUCUGGUUGUUGUAACGCAUUUUUACUUAAUAAUCUCUCUUGUCUGUGUUUCAGGUCAUUCAUGGGGAUAGAGUAGGCAGGGUGUGUAGAAUCUUCUUCCAUCACAGCAUGAAACUGAGUGAAGACUUCAGACCAUGACAUCUGCAGAUGUUGGGCUUCAGUUGUGGGUUCCUCCAUUUUAUACUCCUUUCUUCCUGCUGGUGGGCAUGAUGGCUGGAGUUGAUGCAGUCAUUUUAGCACAAUGGGGAAAAGACCACGUGAGUACUAGAGGCUUCAUUAUGAAUAACAUUGAACAACUGGAACAACGCUAGCAGCUGCAAAUCCUCAAACUUCUCAUUAUGUGUCAAAAAUAAACUACUUGUAUUAGACAC